UGACGUGAACAGCGACUUGUGUGUGAAGCGUCUCUGAUGGCGUCUGUGACUGUUGGUUUUACUCUGCACGGCCUCCGGGUGAAGACUUGCGAGGGAAGGCAGCGGCUGCAGGACGUGUGCGGUCAAGGCCUGGCUGUGGUGGAAGGCGGCCUCCGGCAGCAGCUGGCGGCAGGAGCUUGGUAGAAUGUCGGGGCCACUGCACUUGUUUCAGUGAGCAGGCCAGGCCUGGAAACAAUGGGAGCAGCUGCACAGAUUUAGAAGCAUCAGCAUUCAGCUCUGGUCAACCUACGCUUCAUUGAAGUAUCAACUGUGCAUAUUUAAAGCAUGCAAUUUGAUGAGUUUGGACAGGUGUGCACCGAUGAAACCAUCACCACAAUCAAGCUCUCAAGGUUGCAGGACUGAACACCUGGAUCCACCACUCCCGGGUGAAAGCAGCCCACCAGUCGAGUGACACCCAGCCUGAGUGAAAAGGUGACCUCUGACCAGAAACACCCCCUGCGGAUCACCCUCAAGAAGACAGCGGACCUGGCUGAUCAACCUGCUCCAAGGAAUUCAGAUAGCACCCUGCUGAAUUCUCCCUUACACUAAUCUUUCUUUCUUAUCGCCUCCUAAAAGGUAAUAUUUUUUGGUAUUUCUGGAUAAUCAUUGUUUUUAUCUUUCUAAUAUUCUUAUUUUGUCUUUUUAUGAGUGUCGCCGGGACCCUAGGCUAGUCCCAGGAGGAGAACUCUUCUGCCCGUGCUGGGACACAGAAGCACCAUAAAA